GUGAGCUACAAUGAAACCAAUUACUCCACAGAUGUGACUCUGACAAUAUUAGUUCCUCCACUGGUCUCCAUCAUCUUACCUGAAGUAGUUUUGAAAAGAAAAACUUCGGUUGAAUGUUGGGCAAGGAGCUUUAGUCCUCCACAAAUCAUGUUUACCUGGACAAGAGCUGGAAACAAAAUCCAAGUACCCCAAAAGCUCCAAGUGAACCAUACAGAGGACGGGCUAUACGAUGCAGUCAGCUGGCUGACGUUCUUCCCUCAAGUCUCUGACCAGAAUACAAGCUUUGGCUGUGAGGUGCAACAUACAGCCUUGAUGAAACCUGUCCUAGAAGAGUUCACGCCACAUAUCAUAGUUCUCCCAAAUGUCACUCUCUCUGUGGUUCCCUCUACUUCCCACUCCUCUCCACUUACCCUCUCCUGUGACGUCAGUGGAUUCUACCCUGACAACGUAUCCAUUUUAUGGAUCCAGAAUGGAAAGGUUCUUCCCAACCUUCCUUUGUCCAUCCAAAAUGAGGAAGGAAUGUAUAGGAGACAUCAGUAUCACACCCUGAGUGUGGAGGAGAGGAGCAAAGGAGGAGAGGUGCAGUGUGUGGCCCGACAACCCAAUGUGCAAGAACCUGCCUAUGGAACUUUUGCCCUACCCACUGUUGACCCACGUGUGCAAAACCCAGGUCUGAAUAAGUCAGCCAAGGCUUCGGUAGCAAUGAUGAUAAUUUCACUCACGCUGGUUUUUUUGCUCUGCUUUGGAUUUUCUUGGAAGAGAAGGGAUGAGAAGCGGAAGUCUCUGAAUGUCUCAGCGAUUGUUCUGCCACCCAGGGUGGUUGUGGGUAAGAAAGGCAGAGUCACCAUCAGUGUGGAAGGCAGGUUGGCAGAGAGGGUACAAACGACAUGGUUUCUGAAUGAUGUUCCCAUCACAGACACUUCAUACAAAGAGAAAAAAUAUGGUCCUUUUUGCUCGGCAGCCUACACUCCUCGCACCUCUCGUGUAUCUGUGGUGUCAGAAAAAAGUUCUCUGCUGCCCUCUACUGCCUCAGGAUAUUACAAGCUACAUACUCAGAUGUCACCUCGCUCGUCCUCCAGCUCAAUGAAACAACUCUUCUCCUCCGUCACAUUUAUACCCAACCUGUCCAUUCACAAGGGUGCAAUCUUGAAAUGCCACAUCUCGUAUAAGGGGAAAGACAAGAUUGUGGCUGAGAGAGUGUCCGACAAGUUUACUAUUCUAGGUCAGAGGCUAUGUUGAGGUCUCUCAUGUAUUACCUGCAGCUUGUUUUUAUGUGAAG
rnacentral:lncRNA from 1 species